UUUGCUCUUCAAGCGGCCAGCAGGUAUCAGCAGCUUCCUGGCCAGUGCGCACGAUGGCAGGCCAUGGGGAAGGGGAUGUCAUGGCAGUCUCCUUGGCCAAGGAGAGUCCAGAGGUGGUCUAUCUUGCAGGGUUGUUAUGCCAGUAGGUGAGCCUUUUAAUGGCGUCGAGAUAAGUGUUAUCCCAAAGAUCGGAAUGCUGUCAUGCUGUUUUUACAUGAACUGGGGCCAAUGAAAAAGUGAAAAAGCAAUACGACUUUGGAACCAGUUGCCAAGAGAGGUGGUGGGCUCUCCCACACUGGAGGCAUUCAAGAUGAAACUGGAGAGUCAUCUGCGUGGGAUGGUGUGGCUUGGCAUCCUGCACGAGCAGAGAGUUGGACCUGAUGGCCUUCUGGCCCCUUCUAAAUCUACUGUUCCAUUCUAUGAAAGACACCAGGCUGUACAUCAAGAACCAAAACAAGGUCUUGAAGAGUGUAUCCAACAAUGAGGCUUCCUUUAAAAUGGCAAGCUGGAUCCUCUCGCAACACAGAAUUGGAAGCGCUGGAAUUUGUUUUGUGAAAGAAGUCACAGUACAGAUCCUACCGGGUGUUACACAUUGGCAGGAAGUAGAUGCAGAUGAGUAGCAUCUUUGUUUACCCUUUGUUGAGAGACUCCUGGCUUGUAUCCAGUGAAAGUAUUAGCAGAUACAAUAAAAUGUUAAAACCAGGAUCACAAUGUGUAUGCUAUGCAAUAAAACCUUACUCAAACCA